GCCCGCUUGGCUCAGUGGUGGAGCGUAUCACUAGUAAUGACAAGGUCGUCAGUUCAAUUCUGGCAGUGACCA